AUGCUCAUUCUGGGAAAGGAUCCGAAGACAAGAAGAAAUCUUGGGACUGGGAUUGAGCACGACGGCCUCUACUACCUUACCAAUGCCCCGUCUCCAUCUCCAUAUGCCCUCAGUAUGAUGAAUAGCUUGACCAAUGAUGAAUUUCUACUAAUGCAUUAUAGACUAGGGCAUCUGUCAUUCCAAGCCCUUAGUCGCAUGUUUCCAUCUCAAGUUAAAAAUUAUUGUAAGGAGAAGCUUUUGUGUGAUGUGUGUGAACUGGCUAUACACACUAGAACCAAUUAUCCUAGUAGUAAUGAGAGAAAUAAGAUACCGUUUGAUGUGGUGCAUUCGGAUGUAUGGGGUCCAUUGGUUGUAACUGCCCUCACAGGGGAUAGAUAUUAUGUGACCUUCAUUGAUGGUUUUAGUAGGUGCACAUGGCUGUACCUCCUAAAGCAUAAAUCUGAAGUUCUGCCUGCAUUCAAAGAUUUUUUUUAA
rnacentral:rRNA from 1 species